rnacentral:ncRNA from 1 species
CUGGUUGAUCCUGCCAGUAGUCAUAUGCUUGUCUCAAAGAUUAAGCCAUGCACGUGCAAGUUUAAACUGUCUCAGUGAAACUGCGAAUGGCUCAUUAAAUCAGUUAUGGUUCCUUUGAUCGUCACAUCCUACAUGGAUAACUGUGGUAAUUCUAGAGCUAAUACAUGCGGAAGAAGCGCCGACCUCACGGUCUGGCGUGCAUUUAUCAGACCAAGACCGACCCGGAGUUCGUUCCGGUACCUUUGGUGACUCUGGAUAACCUAGCCGAUCGCACGGUCUUCGCACCGGCGACAGAUCAUUCGAAUGUCUGCCCUAUCAACUUUCGAUGGUAGGUUCUGUGCCUACCAUGGUGGCAACGGGUGACGGGGAAUCAGGGUUCGGUUCCGGAGAGGGAGCCUGAGAAACGGCUACCACAUCCAAGGAAGGCAGCAGGCGCGCAAAUUACCCACUCCCGACUCGGGGAGGUAGUGACGAAAAAUAACAAUACGGGACUCUUUCGAGGCCCCGUAAUUGGAAUGGGUACACUUUAAAUCCUUUAACGAGGAUCUAUUGGAGGGCAAGUCUGGUGCCAGCAGCCGCGGUAAUUCCAGCUCCAAUAGCGUAUAUUAAAGUUGUUGCGGUUAAAAAGCUCGUAGUUGGAUCUUGGGGCCGGGCUUGCGGUCCGCCGCGAGGCGUGUCACCGCUCGUCCCGGCCCUCCCUGCCGGAUUCUCCUUGGUGCUCUUAACUGAGUGUCUCGGGGUGCCGGAGCGUUUACUUUGAAAAAAUUAGAGUGUUCAAAGCAGGCCUGGUGCCUGAAUAGUGGUGCAUGGAAUAAUGGAAUAGGACCUCGGUUCUAUUUCGUUGGUUUUCGGAACGUGAGGUAAUGAUCAAGAGGGACGGACGGGGGCAUUCGUAUUGCGGCUGGAGAGGUGAAAUUCUUGGAUCGCCGCAAGACGAACCACUGCGAAAGCAUUUGCCAAGAAUGUUUUCAUUGAUCAAGAACGAAAGUUGUGGGCGCGAAGGCGAUCAGAGCGCGAAGGCGAUCAGAUAUGCCCUAGUCACAACCAUAAACGAUGCCAACCAGCGAUCCGCCGGCGUUACUUCGAUGACCCGAUGGGCAGCUCCCGGGAAACCUGAGUUUUCGGGUUCCG